rnacentral:tRNA from 1 species
GGGCAGAUGGCGAAAUUGGUAUACGCAUCACGCUCAAAAUGUGACAACAUUAAGUUAUGAGGGUUCAAAUCCCUCUCUGCCCA